GGGAUCUUAGCUCAGCUGGGAGAGCAUCUGCCUUACAAGCAGAGGUUCACAGGUUCGAGCCCUGUAGGUCCCA
rnacentral:tRNA from 1 species